rnacentral:rRNA from 1 species
AUUGAACGCUGGCGGAAUGCUUUACACAUGCAAGUCGAACGGCAGCACGGACUUCGGUCUGGUGGCGAGUGGCGAACGGGUGAGUAAUAUAUCGGAACGUGCCCAGUCGUGGGGGAUAACGUAGUGAAAAUUACGCUAAUACCGCAUACGAUCUACGGAUGAAAGCGGGGGAUCGCAAGACCUCGCGCGAUUGGAGCGGCCGAUAUCAGAUUAGGUAGUUGGUGAGGUAAAGGCUCACCAAGCCGACGAUCUGUAGCUGGUCUGAGAGGACGACCAGCCACACUGGAACUGAGACACGGUCCAGACUCCUACGGGAGGCAGCAGUGGGGAAUUUUGGACAAUGGACGCAAGUCUGAUCCAGCCAUUCCGCGUGCAGGAUGAAGGCCCUCGGGUUGUAAACUGCUUUUGUACGGAACGAAAAGACUCUGGUUAAUACCUGGGGUCCAUGACGGUACCGUAAGAAUAAGCACCGGCUAACUACGUGCCAGCAGCC